rnacentral:rRNA from 1 species
GUGCCAGCCGCCGCGGUAAUACGGAGGAUCCGAGCGUUAUCCGGAUUUAUUGGGUUUAAAGGGAGCGUAGGCGGAUGUUUAAGUCAGUUGUGAAAGUUUAAGGCUCAACCUUGAAAUUGCAGUUGAUACUGGACGUCUUGAGUGCAUUAAAUGUGGGCGGAAUUCGUGGUGUAGCGGUGAAAUGCGUAUGUAUCACGAAGAAAUACAAUUGCGAAGGCAGAUCACAGGAAUGUAACUGACGCUGAUGCUCGAAAGUGU